AUUGAACGCUGGCGGCAGGCUUAACACAUGCAAGUCGAGCGGAGAUGAGGUGCUUGCACCUUAUCUUAGCGGCGGACGGGUGAGUAAUGCUUAGGAAUCUGCCUAUUAGUGGGGGACAACAUUCCGAAAGGAAUGCUAAUACCGCAUACGCCCUACGGGGGAAAGCAGGGGAUCUUCGGACCUUGCGCUAAUAGAUGAGCCUAAGUCGGAUUAGCUAGUUGGUGGGGUAAAGGCCUACCAAGGCGACGAUCUGUAGCGGGUCUGAGAGGAUGAUCCGCCAUACUGGGACUGAGACACGGCCCAGACUCAUACGGGAGGCAGCAGUGGGGAAUAUUGGACAAUGGGCGGAAGCCUGAUCCAGCCAUGCCGCGUGUGUGAAGAAGACCUUUUGGUUGUAAAGCACUUUAAGCGAGGAGGAGGCUACUUAGAUUAAUACUCUAGGAUAGUGGACGUUACUCGCAGAAUAAGCACCGGCUAACUCUGUGCCAGCCGCCGCAGUAACAC
rnacentral:rRNA from 1 species